rnacentral:rRNA from 1 species
AGUAACACGUGGGCAACCUGCCCUUUGGAUGGGGGAUAACUCGCCGAAAGGCGAGCUAAUACCGCAUGAUAUUCAGGAGACCUCGGUCUUUUGACUCAAAGCCCGCAAGGGCGUCUAAGGAGGGGCCCGCGCCCGAUUAGCUAGUUGGUGAGGUAACGGCUCACCAAGGCAUUGAUCGGUAGCCGGUCUGAGAGGAUGGCCGGCCACACUGGAACUGAGACACGGUCCAG